rnacentral:tRNA from 1 species
GGAUCCGUAGCUCAGUCUGGUUAGAGCACGCGGCUCAUAACCGUGAGGUCACUGGUUCGAUCCCAGUCGGAUCCACCA